rnacentral:rRNA from 1 species
UACGAAGGGGGCGAGCGUUGUUCGGAUUUACUGGGCGUAAAGGGCGCGCAGGCGGCUCAUUUUGUCAGGCGUGAAAGCCCCGGGCUUAACCUGGGACUGCGUUUGAUACGGAUGGGCUAGAGUUCGGGAGAGGAGAGUGGAAUUCCCAGUGUAGAGGUGAAAUUCGUAGAUAUUGGGAAGAACACCGGUGGCGAAGGCGGCUCUCUGGACCGAGACUGACGCUGAGGCGCGAAAGCGUGGGGAGCGAACAGG